UAUUACUUAUUCUGUUUUUUUUAUCUUGCAUUGAGGCCAUGCUUAACACCUUGUGCCUCUGCCACUGUCGUGCCUUGUUAUUGUUUUUUUGUUUAUUGAAAAUUAUUGAAAAUUAAUAAAGAUUUUGAAUAAGAAAAAAAUUUACUUUAGGGGUUAAGUAGCUGAUCCAUCUGCAGCCUCUCCCUCUGCCCCCUGUAACAGGAAGCCUCUGAUUGGUUGAUGCAGGUGCCUUUCCCAGGCUGCAGGACCAAUGAGUGCCUCCUCUUAGCUCAGGGGAGAUGACAUGAUAGAGCAGACACUCCAUGAUCUCCUGGGGCUUCGCUCUGUACUGUGAGUAGUGAUCACACUGAGGCUCCGUGCAUCACAGGAAAUCACAGAAACAGGGCAUGUCAGAUCCGGGACGGUUGGGAGUGAGGGGCCGAUGCUGGACACUGUAGGCGCGCGGGAAUGUGAAGUUGAAUACAUCACUGUGAUUGAUGCACUAUUUCCAGGAUGUGGAGUAGCAUUUCCGGACUAUCAAGACGUUGUAAUAAGGCACAUAUUUCCGGACUUACAGCAAGAAGUUGGAUGAAGGCAUAAACCCUCGAAUCACGCACAUACACAGACACUUUGCCCAAAUUCUAGAGGUAACCUCCUUUAGUAUGCCCAGAGGAAGGGCAAUACAGUAGCCAUGGAUUCCCUACAGGUUUCCUCCCCUCUGGAGGUUUUUCCUGUCCUGAGUUAGUUACUGUACGCUCUUUGUGAGUGAUGGAAGGUUACAUAAAUCCCCUACACAAACAUUUUAUUAAUAAUAAAGUUCCCCUGUUUUUAAAAUGUUCUUUGACUUGUUUGAC